rnacentral:tRNA from 1 species
CAAGUUCGAAGAAGCACCCAUAAAGGGUGCCGGGGUCUU